rnacentral:rRNA from 1 species
UACAGAGGUCCCAAGCGUUGUUCGGAUUUACUGGGCGUAAAGCGUGCGCAGGCGGUUCGCCAAGUCAGGUGUGAAAUCCCCGGGCUUAACCUGGGAAUUGCGCUUGAAACUAGCGGGCUUGAGUGUGGCAGAGGGGGGUGGAAUUCCACGUGUAGCAGUGAAAUGCGUAGAGAUGUGGAGGAACACCGAUGGCGAAGGCAGCCCCCUGGGUCAACACUGACGCUCAUGCACGAAAGCGUGGGGAGCAAACAGG